rnacentral:misc_RNA from 1 species
AACCUAGCACACCUGCGGUGUGUACCUGCGGAGGGAUCAUUACCUAGAGUUGUAGGCUUUGCCUGCUAUCUCUUACCCAUGUCUUUUGAGUACCUUACGUUUCCUCGGUGGGUUCGCCCGCCGGUUGGACAAAACUUAAACCCUUUGUAGUUGCAAUCAGCGUCUGAAAAAACUUAACAGUUACAACUUUCAGCAACGGAUCU